UACGUAGGGUGCGAGCGUUAAUCGGAAUUACUGGGCGUAAAGCGUGCGAAGGCGGUUUUGUAAGGCAGAUGUGAAAUCCCCGGGCUUAACCUGGGAAUGGCAUUUGGGACUGCAAGGCUGGAGUGUGGCAGAGGAGACUGGAAUUCCUGGUGUAGCAGUGAAAUGCGUAGAUAUCAGGAGGAAUACCGAUGGCGAAGGCGGGACUCUGGGCCGAUACUGACGCUGAGGAGCGAAAGCGUGGGGAGCGAACAGG
rnacentral:rRNA from 1 species